GAUGAACGCUGGCGGCGUGCCUAAUACAUGCAAGUCGAGCGAAUGGAUUAAGAGCUUGCUCUUAUGAAGUUAGCGGCGGACGGGUGAGUAACACGUGGGUAACCUGCCCAUAAGACUGGGAUAACUCCGGGAAACCGGGGCUAAUACCGGAUAAUAUUUUGAACUGCAUGGGUCAAAAUUGAAAGGCGGGUUCGGCUGUCACUUAUGGAUGGACCCGCGUCGCAUUAUCUAGUUGGUGAGGUAACGGCUCACCAAGGCAACGAUGCGUAGCCGACCUAAGAGGGUGAUCGGCCACACUGGGCCUGCGACACGGCCCAGACUCCUACGGGAGGCAGCAGUAGGGAAUCUUCCGCAAUGGACGAAAGUCUGACGGAGCAACGCCGCGUGAGUGAUGAAGGCUUUCGGGUCGUAAAACUCUGUUGUUAGGGAAGAACAAGUGCUAGUUGAAUAAGCUGGCACCUUGACGGUACCUAACCAGAAAGCCACGGCUAACUACGUGCCAGCCGCCGCCGUAA
rnacentral:rRNA from 1 species